rnacentral:lncRNA from 1 species
GUGAGGUUGAUCGCGGAAAACAUGCACCUUCAUAUAUUUCCGUCAAUGAAUCCUGAUGGGUAUGCCCUCAAGAGGCUUGGUAAUGAAAACAAUACUGUUCUAAAUCGUGAUUUUCCAUACCAGGUGACUUCUUGCAACUUUGGUUUUCUUACAUCUUUUUUCAUGAAAACCAAAUUGAACCUUAAAAUUGUACUUCAUAAGUGAUUAGACUCUUCUGAGCAAGAAUUCACACAUUAAAUAGUAGGGUCCCUUUAGUUUCUUAUAACUUGAUUAACGAAUGACAGCUAUGAACCAACUAACAGAAAUACGAGAAAGUGGGCUCUUUCCAAAUUGAGUCAUAUCCUAAAUUGAGAGAAAAUAGGAACAAGUCCACUUAAAGUUUUUUUCUUUCAUUCUUAAAUGAUUUUAUCAAACCUUGAAGAAUUCUUCUGCUGUUCAGGAUUAUAAGGUGUACUUUAAAAAAAUUUCAAGUACUAUAUACCCAAAGUUGAAAUAUCUUGCACUUCAAGUGUUCAUCUGAUUCAGGAAACUAAAAUGUUAUAUGAUGGCUCUUUAAUAUAAUUUUAGUAAAAUGUUUUUUUCUUGCUUCUUAAAAAAUAAAAAUAAAUGAAAAAGAAAACUUUUAGUAGGGGGACAUCUCAAUCAAGACUCUGCUCAAAUGAUAGAGUUCAUAUCACCUAGUAGGGGGACAUUUCAGAUUUCACAACUAACUAUAUUGCUAGAUUUAUUUGGUUUUCUCUUUUUUGUCUGAUAUUGAAAAGGGGUCUCUGGGUUUGUAUGGUUUACUCUUUUAAUUUAAUGGUACAACGAAAUUUGACCAGUAUUAUGCUACAGUUCUUUCCUAUGAAUAAUGAUGAGGUGGCGUGUCAACCUGAAACAAGAGCAAUUAUGAGUUGGGUGCGACAGAUACCUUUUACAGCAUCAGCCAGUUCGAAUGGGAUAAUUUUUCCUAUUCAGUCUCUAAACUGAGUAAAAAGGUAGACAUGGUGUUGCUGGUUCUAUUCUAUCCAUGCUUGAUGCUUAUUCUUGUUCCUUUGAGCUGUGUUAAUUCCCUAAUACCUGCUAUAAUCAAAAGUCUGUUCACCAGAAAACAAUUUCCGGAGUGAAGUACCUGCAUUCUGAUAUUUGUUUUGUAACUUGCGAGAGAACCAGUUGAAGCAUGAGGAAUACUUGCUCAGUUUCCUUUGUUCUUUGGCUCUUCUUCUUUUUCUUAAUUACUUAAAUAUAAGAGAGGGGGGUAGUGCCUAGGAGGUAUAGAGUAUAGAAUGACUUAGAAACCAUAGGAGAGUUAAGAAACAACAAACUCAUAAAGGAAACUGUGUUGCUAAGAUGGUGAGUGCACAAGUUGAUUGUUCCACAUGAUGGAUGACUGAGAUGCACCACAAGUCUGGAAGUUAGUAAUUCUUAGUGAAUAUCAUUGGCAAAUUGUUGUUUCAUUAUGAGUGAAGCUAUUAAAUGGGUAUGGACUUUGACAUUGUCUAUCUGACAGGCUCACAUUACCUCUCAUGAAUGUUGAUUUGUCUAUUUGGUUAUAGAAGUGUUGGUUCAGAAGACUAUGCAUGAAAUUUGGAGACAAUGGUCCCUGAUUGUGGCUUUUGUUGUUUACAAGGUGCACUUGUUGCAAAUUAUCCAUGGGAUGGCACUCAAGAUAAAAGGUGAUUUUUUACAUUUAAGGCUCAGUAUUUUGACUUAUAACUUGAAUCGUUCUGUGUUCUACCUUAUUUUCCUUUUUUCUUGUUUACUUCAUGCAGUACUUUGUUACUGUUUGUCUAUCACAAAGUCAUGAGUUUAUUUAUCUACGGUAGGUUAGGUUAUCUUCAAAUAAGAUUUUAUUGCUUAUUUAAAGAGUCAUGUCAGUAUUUAAAGUUUUAAAAACACUCUAAUUAAAAAUCUUCAAAUUCCAUUCUAUUGUUAUGAUUGUUUGCUUGUCCAUGUGGUUGAUACUGUAGGUCUACAGUUAACCUAACUUUUGCUCAUAAUAUGAUCUUUAGGGUUGGGCAUUGGGUCGGUUCAGAUUGGUAUUAGUUACAAACUGAAAUUUUUGGUUCGGAUCGAUAUUGAUUCUACCGGGAAAAAAUGAAAACACCGAACCGUUACCAGACCAGAAAUGUUGGAUUCAGUUCCGGUUUGGUUUUUUGGUUCUAGACCUUAUUAAAAAUUAAAAAAAAUUGCUGCAAAAAUUUUAUUCUUUGCAUAUUUUAUCAUAUUUUUUCCAUGAUCUUUGUUAUAGUAGAUCAAAAACAAUAAAAAUUAGAUACCAAAGAAUAUUAUUAAAUUAUUAAUUCAAAAUAAAAUCUAAACAUAAUAAAAUUUAAAAAAAGAAAGCACAUAAUAAUUUUUUUCCCACCAGUACAACAAUACAAACUAAAAAAAAAAAGCAAAGAAAAACAAGUAAAAAAAAAAUUUGCAAAAGUUGAAAGGUGGAUGAUGAAUUCAUUAAGCAGCAGCGAACGGGAAGCAUAGUUGCAAACCCGACUGGGGAGAUUUGGGGUAAUGGUGUUCAGUGAUGGGGAAUUAUGGUUAUAUAUAUAUAUAUAUAUAUAUGUAUAGAUAUGUAUGUAUGUAUGUAUAUGUUAUGGUGUGUGCACAUGUAAUAAUAAUAAUAAUAAUAAUAAUGUUUUUUCACCUGUCAAUAAAUUUAAAAAAUAAUUUAUUUGUUUUUUAGGUUCAGUCUUUGGAUUUAAAAUUUAGAACCGAAAACUAAACUGGUAAUUUUUUUGUUCUGGUUCAGUUCUGCCCGCCCCUAAUUCAAACGAUUAAGUAUUUUCUUAUUUUUGCAAUAAUGAGGAAAUUUGGUUCUUUAGAUCCUCUCUGUAUCGUCAACAAUUAAUGGCACCUAAUCAUUGGUUCUAGCUUUUCAACGUUUUGGUAUAUUGAAUACAAUCCCUAUUUGCAUCUCUUUAUUAAUGACCUGUUAAAUCAAUUUUUGAGGUGGAUAACCUAUAGUAUUAAAUCAACUCAGAAGAAGUUCUAUUUGAGCAUUUCAGUGAAGUUUGUAUUACCUCUUAUUCUUAACUAUUUUUUCUGAAGAAAGUUUAAUUUGGACCAAUUUCAGGAGAUAUUAUUAUGGUUGUCUUGAUGAUGAAGCAUUCGGGUUCCUGGCUAGUGUAUACAGUUGCUCUCACUAUUACAUGUCUUUGAGCACGGAAUUUCAAGGAGGCAUUAUGAAUGGAGCUCUUGGUAUGACAGUGUAGAAUAAUUUAGUUAUCCAUAUAAUAUUAGAGAAGGGAAUUGAUGUGAAACUUGUUAAAGACUUAAUAUUCAUUCUUCUAGUCAUUUAACUGACAAACUAGUCAGAUUUACGAGUUCUCUCUUUCUCUCUCUGGCUCUUGGAUUCAAUUUCAUUUGUUUGAAAGUCUGGUGGUUGACUCAAGCAUAACCUGCUGCAGGUAUCUGAUAUAUGAUGGCUUGCAAGAUUGGAAUUAUAUAUCUGGUGGCUAUUUUGAGUUGACCUUGGAGAUUAGUGGAGAUUAGUGGGGACAAAUGGCCUAGCUCUGAUGAGGUGAGAAAUCUGUUUUUACCAUCUUCUCCUAAUAUCCAGUAAAUUUAAGCUUGGAUGAAGAAUUGCACUGGAGUGUCAAAAGACUCUGUCUGAUUCCCAGAAAACCUUUUUCUUUCAGUAAUAUCUUUGGGCAGAGACGUAGUAGAUAAUGAAACAAUCAGCUUGUCAUUGUCGUAUUUGCGUGAUAAGAUCAGAAUUUACUUGAUUUAUCUUUUCAUUAGGGGCCCUUGCGAUUAUCUUAACAUUCUAUUUGAUUGUAAGAAUUAGAAUGACAAUAUAUUAGUGCCCUUCCUGCUGUCAUAAAUGAUUCUCUUGGAGAUAAUAAGAUCUAAGGACAUACUUAGCUAUUCUGCAUUUUUUGUUUUUGAUUAAAUACAUGAAGAUACUUUUACUUCCUUAUUUUAACGUACAAAAAUUAUGCUUGUUUGUCAUAGUUCAUCAUUAUUGCUAUUCACCAUCAGCAAUAUGUUAGCAUUUUAAAUUGUUUGUCAGUUUGUAUUCAAUCAUUGCUUGCAUGUUUUGCUUUCACCAUCCGACUUUUCUUACCAGUUUGUGGUUUAUGAUGUAUAAGUUUGUAUUUGUAGAUGUUUGGCACGGGUAAUUUUUCUUUUGCACUGUUUUUCUUACUUUUAAGCCAUCUAGUUGCUUGCACCACAAGAGAAAAAAAAAAAAGCGUCAUCCAGUCAUAUGAGCUGUUUUCUUCUUUGUAUGCAGCUUCCUACUAUCUAGGAAUACAACAAAAUGAGCAUGCUUAAUCUUGUUGCGAGCCUCGUGAAGGUAGGCUUUGGCUUGCCUACUUUUUCUUCUCAUAUAGAGUUCUGUGAUAUUGUUUAUUCUUUUUGUUCUUGCAAUUACAUUGUAGGUUCUCUAAUAAUUACCAUGUAUAAUCUCAUUUUUUUCAUCAGCAGAAUCUUGCUUGUAAUUAACCAUUGAUUAUUGUCCUAAGAGUAUGGUUUUGGUCUUUAUUCCAAGGGAUAGAUGGAAGACUAUAAUCUCAAAUUUAUAAAGUAGCCAUAUCAAGUGUUUUGACAUUAUAAUGAAAUGUGACCUCUGUCUAUUUGGAUUGUACUUCCAUAGACUGGAGUUCGUGGGAGGAUCUUUUCAUCAGACAGUGGAACUGUGGAAGGCCAUUGCCUGGCUCAAUCACAAUCAAGGGAAAAAAUUACACGGUAUUUUCAUAAUUUUAUACUUGCAUGCAUGUUGUUUAUAUUUCUUGGUAUGCAUGUAAUUGUCUCUUUGAUUUAACUUGAUUGAUUUUGAAAUUAUUUUGGGCGGGUCAUUUAAAACUGGCUUGUCUCAGCUGUUUCCCCCCCAUAACCUGUACAUAAUACUCUGUGAACUAUGUUCUACAGGUUAAUGCUGGAAGAGCAGUUGCCGAUCACUAUCGACUGCUCACACCAGGCAAGAGAUAUGAAGGUAUAUAAAGUUAUCUUUCAGGAAUCGAUUUAUAAAAAAUUCUUGAUGCCUAUGGAAAUUUUCAAGAUAUUGUGAAAAUGACCAAAAUAGAAUGGUUGAUGGAGGUUAAUUUAGAAGUGCUGAUUAGAACUUCUCCUGAAAUGCUGAUACAUUUCAAAAUAUGAGUAAUAACAUUUUAUAUUGACUCUCCCCACUACUUGUAGAAUUAGUGCUAAUAAAUAAUUUUCUGACCCAAUCCUGAUAUGGUCUUGAACAAUUUGCUGCAGUUAUGGCCAGUAUGCCUGGGUACAAACCGAAGUCCACGAUCAUCUGGUUGGAAGAAACAGCUACAGCAGAUUUUAUUCCCAGAUAUCACACUCGAGGGUAAUACACUAGGAAGCAUUUGUGACUGAAGCUGUGAUGGUAAGACAAAGAUUGUCCUGCUGGAGUUUCUUUAGGGGUUUCACAUUGAAGUUUGUUUUGUUUUGAUUGUUAUUGCGGCAUUUGUUUGCUUUUUAUUAAAGAUGAGACUGAAAUUCACUCCUGGAAAACAAAAACAGUCAACAAAAGGGUCAGUUGUGGUAUAAGAAGGUCUUCGGUGAAAGUUAUGUGAAACCUAAUUGUAUAUUAUGUCAUUAUGUGCUAUUAAAAAGCAUAGUUAUAGUUUUCAUCUUAAUUUUUUGUGCCUAAUGAUUGCUUGUACUGGUUUCUUUUUGAGUUUGCCAUGGGCUCCUUAUAUGAUAUUGCUCUACGACUGAAAUGUUGAAAUGUUGAAACCUACUACAUCUUCCAUUCAACGCAAUUAAGUCAUUGUAUGUUGUUACAUGUUGUUGGUCUGUUGUUAUGAUAACAUUGAUGCCAAUAUGAGAUUAGAAUCAUUAUCUUAAAUAUGUUCUCAUGUCACAAUUAUCAGUUACUUCGCAAACAAUGCAAGUGUUCAAAAUAAGUGUGGAGGAUAAAUGUAUUUUAACAAAACUGUCAAAUGAGUGAUUAUUUUGAUGAGUUAAUGUGAUUUCAACCUUUUUAUUUUAAGAGUGAUGAUACAGUCAUAAACUCUUGUAUAAAUUUAUUUUGUACAAAUUGAUGUGGUAUUAAUUCAUUAGUUGAAUGAAAAUAUAAAAUAAAUUUAUACAAGAGUUUGUGAUUAUAUCAUUACUCAUAUUUUAAUAUUAGAACAUAAAAUUUAUAGCCUGAAUGAUGUGAUAUACUCAUGAGCUGUUAAUUUUAUAUAUUAAUGAGAGUACUGAUAUCUAUCCAUUAAAUGGAGACAGAAUUAAUGUUAAAAGUGUAUGGAAGUACCGUUAAUUCCAAAUAAAAAAAAAGAAAGUAAAUUUGUAUGAAAAUACCGUCAUUUGAAAAUAAUAAUGAAAAAAAAAUACUUUAAAACGUGUGAUUUUACUAAUAUUUCUUUUGUAGCUCUCUAACCCUCUACGUGUGAAAAUUAUUUUUCUUAAUAAUAUAAAAAAAGAUCAGUUAUAGUCUUAAGAAGUACUUAUAAAUUAAAAAUGAUAUGCCAUCUUACACAUAACGUUAGUAACCUCUAAUGCCAUGGGAAGUAACAAGCGGUCAAGCUUUAUUGGAGGAGCUGUCCUACGGGGCCCUAGAAGUACUUAAGAAGUACUUAUAAAAGAAUUGAUAAGUACCAGCUUCUUCUUCUUAAUUUCAUUCACAUGAUAAAAUUGCAUUUGGUACAUGGUGUCAAAUAAAUUGUUUAUCCUUUAUCCUCUUGAUUAAUUUUUUUUAAUAUAUAAUUUUAGUUCUAUUGAUAUAUUAAUGGCAUGAAAAAUAUUCAUUUUAUUAUUAAGAUGUUUUCAGUUCAUAGAAUAUAUAUAUAUAUAUAUAUAUAUAUAGAAUACUGUUCCAAUGUUCGGGAGGGAGGCUGGUCACCUCUGCCCCCCAUGUGCAGCCAAACCAAAAUAAUUAAUAGAGUGCUGUUCCAAUCCGGGACUCCCGGAUUGGAACAGCCUCCUAUAUAUAUAUAUAUAUAUUUGAAGCAAAUCUAGAUUAAUUUCUUUGGAGGUUUUUUUUUUUACUUUUUAUUUUUAUUUUUUCAUAUCUCGCUGGAUUUACUGAUUUUUUCACUAUACUAUGUAUACUGGAUUAUUAUUGUUCUUUUCCAAACAUAAUGAAUUCGCUUAAUAUUUUGCAGGGUUCUGGAGCCAGAAGAACAAUUGUUCAAUUAUUUCCAUUAUUUACUUACAUGAUUUGAUACUUCCCCAUUUAAUUGGACGACAAGUUCAUACAAUUUUAGCAAUACUAAAAAUAUAUACUAAUUUAAUGUUUAGACUUUAGAGGCUUCUUUUUCUAAUAAUAGCAUCCUCUUCAAAUAAUUACAAUGGUUGGUCGUUCCUUAACUAAAAGGUCGUAAAGUUGCAAUGAUAUUUUUCUCUUCACGUGCCUAAUUGUAUAAGUUUGAUAAAAAGGGAAAGAGGGCGAGGACCCGAGGUCGACCGCCUUUUUUAUUUUAAGAGUGAUGAUACAGUCAUAAACUCUUGUAUAAAUUUAUUUUGUACAAAUUGAUGUGGUAUUAAUUCAUUAGUUGAAUGAAAAUAUAAAAUAAAUUUAUACAAGAGUUUGUGAUUAUAUCAUUACUCAUAUUUUAAUAUUAGAACAUAAAAUUUAUAGCCUGAAUGAUGUGAUAUACUCAUGAGCUGUUAAUUUUAUAUAUUAAUGAGAGUACUGAUAUCUAUCCAUUAAAUGGAGACAGAAUUAAUGUUAAAAGUGUAUGGAAGUACCGUUAAUUCCAAAUAAAAAAAAAGAAAGUAAAUUUGUAUGAAAAUACCGUCAUUUGAAAAUAAUAAUGAAAAAAAAAUACUUUAAAACGUGUGAUUUUACUAAUAUUUCUUUUGUAGCUCUCUAACCCUCUACGUGUGAAAAUCAUUUUUCUUAAUAAUAUAAAAAAAGAUCAGUUAUAGUCUGAAGAAGUACUUAUAAAUUAAAAAUGAUAUGCCAUCUUACACAUAACGUUAGUAACCUCUAAUGCCAUGGGAAGUAACAAGCGGUCAAGCUUUAUUGGAGGAGCUGUCCUACGGGGCCCUAGAAGUACUUAAGAACUUGACAGGACCUGAUUGAGAUUAACGGCAUUUGAGAUUUUCUACAUGUUGAUUAAAAUUCGUUAUUAUCGGUUGCUGGCCGGCUGUGAAUAACCAUUUCAAAUGUUAAAUUGAUCAUUUGCUCCUUAGAAAAUAAAAACCGAUCAUCGUUACUUAAAAAAAAAAAAAAGAGAUGGGGAGAGAGAGAGAGAGAGAGAGAGAGAGAGAUGAUUUCAACAAUGAGAUUGGACAGAUGAGCCCGGCCCGGCGGCUCCCGCUGAUGUUACUGCAAAAUGACGGGUAGGUGACAGUGGCUCCUGGCCAAUCAAGUUCACAAUUUUAGCAAUACUAAGAAUAUCUAAUAGUUCAAUGUUUGGAAGCUUCAUUUUCUGUUAUUGUUGAUCUUAACUAAAAAGUCGUAAAGUUUCGAUUAUCUUUUUGUCUUAUUUGCUCUUACUGAAUAAGCGCUUAUUCAAUAACAAAAUUAUGGGUGUGAGUGACAAUGACUCUUGGCCAAUAUAAGUCAAUAUAUACCCUAUGCUGACUUGAAUCGUGGGCACAUACUCUACCUGUAAGCAAAUCAUAUUUUAUGAAUAUGAAUUGAAUCCAAUUGCGGGAUCCAUUACUUUUUUUAAUAUCAAAUUAUGAUAGGGUUUAAGAUGAGAGGCGCACUGAUAGUCAAAAUAAAACUUAUUAUUCUAUCAAAUCAAAAAAUAUAAGCAACUCCACAGUUAAAAUGAAGUACCGACAUGAUUUUUUUUUUUAUUUAAACCGCGACAAAAUUUAUGUUAAAACUAUAUGGAAGUACUGGAGAUUAUAGGCUAAAUUAACAUCAAGCAAAUAAAAAAUACAUGCUCCAAAGCAAUACACUCUUUUUUUUUUCCAAAAAAUAAAAGAGUACGGGAGAAACGGGAGUGAAAAUAAAUCAGUCAUAAAACAAACCAAAGAUGUAGCAUUCAUUGAUAUCAUCAGAAUGAAAGUUCAAACCACUCUUAUUCAACAAAUUAAACAACGAAGAUUAAAAAAAAAAAAAAAAAAAAAGAGGUACAAACGAAAAAUAAAACCACUCACCGAAAGAAAUAAAAUUACGUAAACAAACCAGCCAGACGUACAUAUCAGCAAUUCAGCAUGCAUGUAAAUUUUUCAACGCACUACUGCAUGAAAUUGACCGAAAAGUUCAAUUUCUUCUAUCUUCACUCCAAUCUUGUACCUCAUCCUUUCUCUCCCAGUAGCUGGAUCAUAAUAAUAUUCCUUAAAAAACACAACCGUAUCACCGGCUUGCACAUUCUUCUCCCGAACAAACUUCAGCCAAUCACCGGAGAUAACAGGUUUUCUGUGAGGUCCUUUCGCACGGAUUCUCAAAUGCAAUGUCCAUGGCCCAAGUUCACCCUUGGCAUCAAAUGCCACGAAUUCUCGAGGGCGCUCACCAUCUGGCAAUUCAAAAAAACCGUCGUCAAGACGUCUGUUCGAAACAUUAAGUCUGCCACCGGUCUCACAGGCAGUGAUCUUCUUUGGGUAGACCUGCAUCUUUCUUGAACUAGAUAUUAAUUCACACUUAACUGUGUAGAUAUCAGAGAGUAGAGAGUAGAGAGCAGAGAGAGUGUUUUGCAAGGAGAGUGUUAGAGGUCUAUUUAUAAGCAUAUGGAGGAGAGUGUUCAGUACAUUCCAAACAAACAGACAGAUCACAGAUGGCAUAAUCCGCGGUUCAUAAUGGUACAGAAAUUGAUGAAUUUAAUGCUUGGGAACCAGCACAUUAAAUUGCUAAGAUUAGAGCAACAACUCAAUAAUUGAUAAGAGUGAAAUCCAUCACUCAAUAAUUGAUAAGUCAAUGUGAAAUCCAUCACUCUAUAGCACAUUGACUUAUCAAUUCUUUUAUAAGUACUUCUUAAGACUUAUCAAUUCUUUUAUAAGUACUUCUUAAGUACUUCUAGGGCCCCGUAGGACAGCUCCUCCAAUAAAGCUUGACCGCUUGUUACUUCCCAUGGCAUUAGAGGUUACUAACGUUAUGUGUAAGAUGGCAUAUCAUUUUUAAUUUAUAAGUACUUCUUGAGACUAUAACUGAUCUUUUUUUAUAUUAUUAAGAAAAAUGAUUUUCACACGUAGAGGGUUAGAGAGCUGCAAAAGAAAUAUUAGUAAAAUCACACGUUUUAAAGUAUUUUUUUUUCAUUAUUAUUUUCAAAUGACGGUAUUUUCAUACAAAUUUACUUUCUUUUUUUUUAUUUGGAAUUAACGGUACUUCCAUACACUUUUAACAUUAAUUCUGUCUCCAUUUAAUGGAUAGAUAUCAGUACUCUCAUUAAUAUAUAAAAUUAACAGCUCAUGAGUAUAUCACAUCAUUCAGGCUAUAAAUUUUAUGUUCUAAUAUUAAAAUAUGAGUAAUGAUAUAAUCACAAACUCUUGUAUAAAUUUAUUUUAUAUUUUCAUUCAACUAAUGAAUUAAUACUACAUCAAUUUGUACAAAAUAAAUUUAUACAAGAGUUUAUGACUGUAUCAUCACUCUUAAAAUAAAAAAGGCGGUCGACCUCGGGUCCUCGCCCUCUUUCCCUUUUUAUCAAACUUAUACAAUUAGGCACGUGAAGAGAAAAAUAUCAUUGCAACUUUACGACCUUUUAGUUAAGGAACGACCAACCAUUGUAAUUAUUUGAAGAGGAUGCUAUUAUUAGAAAAAGAAGCCUCUAAAGUCUAAACAUUAAAUUAGUAUAUAUUUUUAGUAUUGCUAAAAUUGUAUGAACUUGUCGUCCAAUUAAAUGGGGAAGUAUCAAAUCAUGUAAGUAAAUAAUGGAAAUAAUUGAACAAUUGUUCUUCUGGCUCCAGAACCCUGCAAAAUAUUAAGCGAAUUCAUUAUGUUUGGAAAAGAACAAUAAUAAUCCAGUAUACAUAGUAUAGUGAAAAAAUCAGUAAAUCCAGCGAGAUAUGAAAAAAUAAAAAUAAAAAGUAAAAAAAAAACCUCCAAAGAAAUUAAUCUAGAUUUGCUUCAACUAUAUAUAUAUAUAUAUAGGAGGCUGUUCCAAUCCGGGAGUCCCGGAUUGGAACAGCACUCUAUUAAUUAUUUUGGUUUGGCUGCACAUGGGGGGCAGAGGUGACCAGCCUCCCUCCCGAACAUUGGAACAGUAUUCUAUAUAUAUAUAUAUAUAUAUAUAUAUUCUAUGAACUGAAAACAUCUUAAUAAUAAAAUGAAUAUUUUUCAUGCCAUUAAUAUAUCAAUAGAACUAAAAUUAUAUAUUAAAAAAAUUAAUCAAGAGGAUAAAGGAUAAACAAUUUAUUUGACACCAUGUACCAAAUGCAAUUUUAUCAUGUGAAUGAAAUUAAGAAGAAGAAGCUGGUACUUAUCAAUUCUUUUAUAAGUACUUCUUAAGUACUUCUAGGGCCCCGUAGGACAGCUCCUCCAAUAAAGCUUGACCGCUUGUUACUUCCCAUGGCAUUAGAGGUUACUAACGUUAUGUGUAAGAUGGCAUAUCAUUUUUAAUUUAUAAGUACUUCUUGAGACUAUAACUGAUCUUUUUUUAUAUUAUUAAGAAAAAUGAUUUUCACACGUAGAGGGUUAGAGAGCUGCAAAAGAAAUAUUAGUAAAAUCACACGUUUUAAAGUAUUUUUUUUUCAUUAUUAUUUUCAAAUGACGGUAUUUUCAUACAAAUUUACUUUCUUUUUUUUUAUUUGGAAUUAACGGUACUUCCAUACACUUUUAACAUUAAUUCUGUCUCCAUUUAAUGGAUAGAUAUCAGUACUCUCAUUAAUAUAUAAAAUUAACAGCUCAUGAGUAUAUCACAUCAUUCAGGCUAUAAAUUUUAUGUUCUAAUAUUAAAAUAUGAGUAAUGAUAUAAUCACAAACUCUUGUAUAAAUUUAUUUUAUAUUUUCAUUCAACUAAUGAAUUAAUACCACAUCAAUUUGUACAAAAUAAAUUUAUACAAGAGUUUAUGACUGUAUCAUCACUCUUAAAAUAAAAAAGGCGGUCGACCUCGGGUCCUCGCCCUCUUUCCCUUUUUAUCAAACUUAUACAAUUAGGCACGUGAAGAGAAAAAUAUCAUUGCAACUUUACGACCUUUUAGUUAAGGAACGACCAACCAUUGUAAUUAUUUGAAGAGGAUGCUAUUAUUAGAAAAAGAAGCCUCUAAAGUCUAAACAUUAAAUUAGUAUAUAUUUUUAGUAUUGCUAAAAUUGUAUGAACUUGUCGUCCAAUUAAAUGGGGAAGUAUCAAAUCAUGUAAGUAAAUAAUGGAAAUAAUUGAACAAUUGUUCUUCUGGCUCCAGAACCCUGCAAAAUAUUAAGCGAAUUCAUUAUGUUUGGAAAAGAACAAUAAUAAUCCAGUAUACAUAGUAUAGUGAAAAAAUCAGUAAAUCCAGCGAGAUAUGAAAAAAUAAAAAUAAAAAGUAAAAAAAAAAAACCUCCAAAGAAAUUAAUCUAGAUUUGCUUCAACUAUAUAUAUAUAUAUAUAGGAGGCUGUUCCAAUCCGGGAGUCCCGGAUUGGAACAGCACUCUAUUAAUUAUUUUGGUUUGGCUGCACAUGGGGGGCAGAGGUGACCAGCCUCCCUCCCGAACAUUGGAACAGUAUUCUAUAUAUAUAUAUAUAUAUAUAUAUAUUCUAUGAACUGAAAACAUCUUAAUAAUAAAAUGAAUAUUUUUCAUGCCAUUAAUAUAUCAAUAGAACUAAAAUUAUAUAUUAAAAAAAAUUAAUCAAGAGGAUAAAGGAUAAACAAUUUAUUUGACACCAUGUACCAAAUGCAAUUUUAUCAUGUGAAUGAAAUUAAGAAGAAGCUGGUAAAGUGGAGUUCGUUUUGGUUGUCUUUUUCCUUUUUUAUUUUUUCGUCUCAGGACAACGAAAAUCCAGCUGUGCUUUCUUUCUAAGGAGGGCCCUAAUCCAAACUCAAAUGACUGGAAAAUCUUGUAGCAUGGUCGCGCUACUCUUCAUUACAUGAUUUGGACAGAGGAGUCAAGUUUGGAAUAAACAGUUUUGUUUAUUUGGACAGAUUACUAGCCGGUUCAAUUUUGUCCAAACAAACUGUUGUCCAAAACCGCCAGUUAUGCUUUCUUUCAAAACCGCCGAUCAUAGUAAUUUCUUUCUAAGAAGGGUUUUUCUUCUCUGUAAGUGGUUUCGUGAAAGAGACACGAAAAUGAAGUUAAAAGAGUUUGGGAUGAUGGGCCCUCCUUAGAAACCACUAAUAUUUCAGCAAUCUUGCGUUUGAUGUUGUCCAAACAAACUUAUUUACUUCUUGAGUGGUGUUUCAUUUAUAUGGUUGAAAUAUUAGUGGUUUGUAUUUCAAGAUUGCUGUUGUUGUUGGCCAUAGUGUUGUCAAAAGCAGAAAGAAACGGCUCAAAAGAUAGCCUAUAUCAUUCAGAAACCCAGAAAAAUGAAACACGCCAUGCUGCGUCAGCCCUAGAAUGAGUUACUUCUAUUCUGUUGCUAAUUAUUUGUUUGUUUGCGUUUUGUUUUUUUGCAUGCAAUGGUUUCGUGUGAGAGAAUAUAAGUUAUUGCUCUUAAUUUUUAUUCUAAAGAAUUUUAUAGAAUCAAAUUUCGACUUAUAUUCUUAAAGAUAUUCCAUAAUACAUAAUUAUUGCAUUAUAUGACAAUAAAUGGUGAUUGUGAUGUGUGGGCGAUUCUGCCAUAAUAAUGUUCUAAGUCAACACAUAACGUAAAGAUAUGUUGGGCUGGGACAAGAAAUGAUAUGCUCAUAUUACUCUUUUUUUUUUUUUUUUUCUAGUUUCUUUUCAUUAAGCAUCGGAUAACAAGUAGCUAAUCUCUUUCUUACUUAUGCGAGCGAGAUUCAAUCCCUUAUCUCUUGCUUCAAUCCAAGAUAUUUUAUCUCUUAAAUUAUUUGGCACCUCACAACUUGAGUUCACACUAAUGUGUAACUAUUAUUGUUUGUUACUAACAUUUAAAAAUUUGGUUUUAAAUUAUUUGGCACCUCACAACUUGAGUCAAGGCAAAUUUAAUUCCAAGUUAAAGACAAGAGAUUAUGACCUUGAAAAUUUCAACUGAUCAUGAGAUAAUUAUAUAUUUUUGAUCAUUUAGUUUGCAUUUAUUCACCUUAAUCCCUUAUCAUUAAUGUAUUAUGUAGGAACAUAUGAGCUUAGUUGGGUAAUUAGUCAUUUUCUUGGACCAUUUUGCUAAUGGAUUCACGAGAAUGAAGGCACCGCUAAUUGUGCCAGAAAAUUUGGUAUCAUUUAUUAACAGAAGUUGAAUGAAAAAACACCAAAUCUUGAAAUUUUAUUUGAUUAAAAGUAUUGAUAAAUAUAAUUUUAAUCUGACUCAUUCCUCAGUGUUACGAAGAUGGUUAUAAUUAUAAUAAAUAUUUGAAGAUGGUUAGAACUGAGUAAAUUUCAGUGUUAUAUCCCUUUGCCAAUUCCCAAAUUUGAGUAGGACUCACAAUUCUAAUUCUAAUUUUACAAAAUAAACUUUAUCAAUGAUUCUAAUUUCUCAACUUGAGAAGUAAAUGCACCAUGAAAAUUUAUGAUCACUCCCAAACUCUAGACACCGAAGUAGACUAGUAGGUGAAGAAAAGCAUAACAAAAAUAUGCUGACCAAUAGGAAUCACACUAGUAAUGCAUUAUUUUUUCUAUCAUUUCUUUUUAUAGAAAAAAAAAUCUUUUCGAUAGAUAAAAAAAAAAUUCUUUUUUUGUAGAUCACCCAAAUAGAUGGUACAAAUUCAGAUUGUUAUAGGCCAAACUAAGAUAUCCGUUGCAGUAAAUAACCGAUUAAAUUAAACUAUUUCAAACGCUGAAAAAAUUGAAAAUAUCUUUUAGUCUUAUUUCUAAAUUCAGUUAAUUGUAAGUUUUAAAAAUUUGAAUUCAUGAUUGGUUUUUUUAUUAAAUAAAAAAAUUUACAACCUCCACUGACUCAAAAAGCUUGAGCUUAUCCGUGGCCAGUGGGUGAAAGUGGACGCGUUUGAUUUCGAUCUCUUAUCCGUAACUCACUAUCUACUAACUUGUUGCCCCGUCUGCUUGGACAGGGGCGGACGCCAUGUAAAACUAAAGGGGUGCCAUGGCCCCCUGGGUUUUAAAAUAUUUUGAGAUUUUUGAAUAAAAUAUGAAUAAUGUAUACACUGAUCCCUGUAUAAUUAAGUUUGACCCCCCCUUAAAUUUAUAAGUUUAAAUUUGGCCCCCUUAAAUUUCCUCCUGAGAUCCGCCCCUGUGCGUGGAACCAUUUUUGCUCCACAAUGUUCUUAUCUUUGUUAUUUGUCCAAUACUAUAAUCUAAUUAAUUAGUUUAAUUGAUAAACAUUCUCAUUUGUCAUAUUUAAUCUGAUUAAUAAUUUAACAUCUUUUUAACAUCACCGCUAUGUAUCCGCGUUCUGAGUUGGCAUUGACUCACCAAAAGCUUGUGUCUGUUUUUCUAGCCGUCUACUUUUCUAAUAAAACUUAAAUAAAACGUAUUCAAAUUACCUUUUACGUUAUGUGUUGACUUGGAACAUUAUUAUGACAGUAUCGCCCAAACAUCACAAUCACCAUCUAUUGUCAUACAAUACAAUAACUUUCCUGCAAUUGCAAGAACAAAAAAAAGAUAAAAAAGGGGUGCUCAUCACUUAUCAGGAUACACCAAGCCCUCCUUGUGUCUAGUUUCUUUAUAGAACCAAAUUUAUACUUAUAUUCUUAAAGAUAUUCAAGAUUUAAUCAAUAAAAGUCACAACUAUCUGGAAUUGGUACAAGACCAAAAUUUAUAAUUUUUUUCGUACUAAUUCAUCAAGAUAUAAUGAGUAAAUCAAUACUGACUGUUCUAGACCUAAACUAUAAACUGUAAAACCAUGAGGCUGAAGUAAACUCUUAAACAGAUAAAACAUGAUUUUCACUGAUAUAGAGCAAAUAAAACUUGAUACACAUGCUGCCACAUCCCUUUCCAGGACCAUAAAUAAGUAACCCGUUAGCAAAAUAAAAUAAAAUAACUUUUAGAAAAACACAUGGGUCCCUUCACCAAUUCAUCAAUACAAUCACGUGCUUCCUAAAUUGCUUUAAGCAAAUCCCAAGAAUCCCGCCGGACCACAAUAACAAUAACAUAGAGGCUGAAGACAAGCACACAUUACACAACACAAACUAUUUAAUAUUGGUUUUUGCUACCUUAUCGUUGCAUGUAAGGUACAGUCUCUCACAAACUCAGAUAUAGAUCUCAUUUAGACCCACCAGCCUUGUGAGAGGCUGUACCUUACAUGCAACGUAAGGUAGCAGCUCCCAAUAUUGAUAUUGGACUCAAACUUCACUUGUAAACAAUUUUUUUUUUCCAACAUAUUAACAACGAACUGAAUCCAUAUAAAGUUAAUAGACUAAUUUUUCUAAUAAUAAUUACGAAUCAUCCAAAUUAACCCCCAAUCCAAGCAUCAAUUCAGAACCCAAUCAUAUUGAGCGGAAUUUUCUCUAUAGCAUACGAAAACCCCAAUUUAUAGUAAAAGAGUUAAUAAGAAAAUUACAGAGAAACAUAAGAUUUAUACAUACAAAAUGCAAUCAACAGUGAACGCGUUUGGUACAUUUUUCACUAAAACAAGAGGGACUUUAAGCUCGCAGGAAUCUCAUUGUGUUGUGGACUUCACCAUUCACAGGGAUUUAGAGUUUGUUGGUUUGCUUGAAAAGUCAUAGGCAAUUUGGGUUUUCUUUGUGAAGGCGGUAAAACGUGUGUGUGUGAGAUUCUUUUUAAGUCAAUCCUAAUAAUGUUUUAAAAAUUAAAUAAAUAUUAUUGAUAUAAUUUAAGUGCAUAUGAAUAAAACUAAAAAAAAAUACAAACCAACAAGUCUAUCUAACAAAGAUAUUAAUUAAUACAUUAAUGUGCUUUAUGUUUAUGAAUAAUCACUUCAUAAUAUUUUAGAUCCAAAUUAGUAAAAUGAGAAAGAUUAAUUUAAACAUUUAAUAAAUUACAACUGAUGUUAUAGCAGUUUAUAAUAUUCAGAUGUUCAGUUAUAAGAUAAUUUUGAUAGGAAUCAUAUAUAAAAUCAUAUAUAAUUCUUAUUUAGUUGAUAAUACACUUUUGUCACAAAGUUAGACAUAUAAGCUAGUUAUUACAAAAUUUAUAGUUUACAUUUUCAUACAAUGAAAGAGUUUCAAUUUCACACAAAUAAAAAAAAAAAAUUUAAGUACAUGUCUACAUAAAUUGAAUAUGCCUAUGCCUAUUAUUGAUUCUAAAUAUCAAAACAUAAAUGGUUAGUGCUAGGAUGAAUAAUUUCUUCUUGUUUGAAUCAAUAUCCUUUUCACGAAAAUAGUUAUUAGGCUUUCUUUUUGCUAGGAAACUUAUAUUUGUAACAUUUUGGUCUAUAUAAAUUACGCAUACAUGUAUUGGAUUGAUUGUCUCAAUACUUUAGAAUCAAUUUUUAUCCAGAACAAUGUACUGUUUAUAAAAAGACGUUAACUGACAUUUAAUGAAAAUAAUUAAUUCAAUUAAUUGAAUUCGUAUGAGACAUUUUAUCUCCUUAACUAUUUAUUGAUAUUUCUCAUAAUUUAUAGAUGAUUUCUUGUCAGCAAUAUUCUAUUUCAUGGUUAUACUGAUGAAUGAUGAUUUUAUUAUUUAUAUCUUUUAUGCUAUUUAAAUAUUUUAUAAGCUUUACGACAAAUAAAGAUUGAUGGGCUAACUGACUUAAAAAAAACAGCUACCAAAUAAUUCAAUAAUUUUAUACACACUUUUGGGACUAAAGUCUUCAGUCAUUGUAUUCAUUCAAAAUUUUCAUCCUCCAUUGGUGUAGAUGGGCGCAGAAUAUAAUUAGAGCGCGGAGAGGAGGCGCCAAAAUAUGCUUCUAAUUUAACGUUAGUCGCCAAAUUUAUUUCAUAUUGUGAUUAAGAAUAAUAGUCGCACUAUAUUUUCUCGACCUAAUUGAAAUACGUGAUAUAGUAACGAAUAAAACUAGUCACCGAACAAUACAGAAAUACUUUUUUUUAACAUAUUUAAAUUUUAUUUGGUAACUGUAAGCUAUAGUCGUUCCAUAAUCUUUAUUGUAACAAUGUCAUUUAGACAAGGAAAGCAGAUAAAUAAAUAUCAUCUUGAGAUGACUAAUUCCUAAUAUAGUCUCCCAUUAUACUCUAGUAUGUGACUAACAAUAUUAGUCACCACAGUUUCUACACCUGAUUUGAUUAUAUUCAGCGAUUGUUUGUUUUAGUUGCUUAAGCACUCCGAUUGCAACUAAAUAUGUUGGUUUUUGAACCCAAUUCCCAUAAUAAAUGUAUACCGUCUGUGACUAAAUAUAAAUUUGGCACGGAAAAGCGUAUUGAAUGACUAUACUAUUACUUUAUAGUCAUCCAAAAUUAAUGAUGAUAAAAAAAAUAAUCAUUCGUUUGAAAAACGUUUCGGCCAUAUACGGUGACUGUAUUAUUUAGUGGUAAAAACAUAUGUUUCAGUGACUACUAUGUCAGUCGUUGAUGGCAUUUAUUCAGUAUGGAAAUGUGAUGUCGCUUGAAGUAUCAAUCGAUAAGCUUCUUACUGAGACUAAUUGACUAUUUGUCACAUAAUGUGGUCUUUAAGGACUAAGUAAAGAGUCAUAGAAUAUGGAUGAUAGUGGCAAAAAAAUUCAGAGCAUUCGGCAGCAAAUGGUGCGACUAAAUAUUUACGUUAGUCAUGGAAUAAUCUAUUACGUGACUAAAUAUUUAAUAGUCAUAAAAUAGUUGGUCACAAAAACACAAUUUUGUUGUAAUGAAUGUUUGUUUGUAUGUAAUGCGGAUGCGGUCCCCGUACAUAUAUUAUACAUAUAUUAUUAUUAUUAUUAUUAUAAUAAUAAUAAUAAUAAUAAUAAUAAUAAUAAUAAUAAUAAUAAUAAAAAAAAUAAAAUAAAAUAAAUAAUGAUAAGAGCACUUUAUAGGUUAAGAGUUUAUUCCGAAUCACAUCAUAAUAAUCUAUUGUCACGUGUUUCCAUGAUCCGAUCAUCUAUAAUCUAGGCUACGAUACGAAGAUGAAUCAUAUCCUGAAUUUUCAAAAACACGUAGUUGAAAAAGUUAACCGCAAAUCUCGGGUACCAGCAUUCUCACGCCCAUUGAAACGGAAUCUAACUAGUUUUGUCAGCCAUAUACAGGUGUGGUCUCAAAAGGCGUAUAUCAUAUUAUUACAGCCACACGAUUCCCUCUAAAAUACUCUUAAAUCCCAAUUUAUAAACAGUCACCCUGAAAAAAAAUUAAAUAUAAUGUACUCUAGUGUUUCUAGUUACACCUAUUUGAAUAUUGUUUUUUUACAAUCAUGAAACUCCUCACUUUCAUAAAAUUUGAGACAAUCUGAAAUAUGAAAAAGAUACACACUAAUAUAGCGUAUGAAAACAUAUAUAUAUAUAUUUUUUUUAUUCAUCUUCUAACUUAUUCACAAAUUAUAUCUUAGAAAAAUCCCAUAUAUAUUACCAGGUCUCUUUUUUCAAAAUUUUUGAUGCCCAACCUCAUGUAAAUUAAUCUUUUAUUAAAUUGUUGUUAGAUUCCUCGUUGUACUUGAUAAAUAAUGAUUCCAAUUUCAGUAUACAAAUCCUUAUUUAAAAUAUCAGUGAACGUAUAUAUCCUUGUCAAGAAGAAGUUGAAACACACAUAUAGAAUUGGUUAGCUUAAUUGUCUUGUCAUGUUUGGUCGUCAAAAGGAAUUGGCCAUUUUUGGCCCAGUAAUUCAAAUGACUGUUUUGCGAUUGUCUUAACGAAAAAACAAAGCACGCACAAUUUGACAAGAGCAUAAAUUGGUUAAAAGAGGAUAUGAAUAUUAAAGUUUGCAACUCCACCAACACCCUUACGAAAUCUUUAUUUGGAUAGCGGUCUCUUUAUAUUAUGUUUACUUAUUUGAGUGAAAGUGAAUAGUAUAGAUUCAUUCUACUCUAGUGUUUGUUUUUAAAUUUUAAAAGAGAAGCGAGAAUCUCAUUCAUAAAGGCCCAUCCCUUUUUGGACUGGGGACUAGGGAGUGGGAAUCCACUUCCCCAUUUUUUUUCUUACUUUUAUUUUAUUUAAUAUAACAUAAUUAUAUUUAGUAAAAUAAAAUAAAUAAUAUUAUAUUUAUUUAAGUAAUAUUAUUAUAUUAUUUUAUAAAUUACAUUUAUUAAAAAUAAUAAUAUUAAACUUGUUUAAAUAUAAUAUUAUCACAUUUAGUUGAAAAUAAUAAUUUACAUUGAUUUUAAGUUAAAAUUACUUUAAAAUAAUAAUAUUAUAUUCAUGGAGAAUUAAUAAUAUUACAAUAUACUACCUUUAUUUGAAAAUAUAAUAUUAUAAUAUAUUUUUUAAAAAAUAGUAGUAUUAUUUUUAUUUAAUAUUAGUAAUUACUAAUAAUAAAUAUUUUAUUAUAAGAAAAUAUUAAUUUUGUACUAUAUUAUCAAUAAUAAUGUUUCAUUUGUGUUGCUCUUAUCAAUAAUUUUUAUUCACAUAAUUAAAAUAAAUUAAUAAAAAUUUGUGAUUUACAUAAUUAAGAAUAUUAAUUAUUAUUAUUAAUUUAUAGAUAUAAUAAAGUAAAUAAUUUAUUUUUUAAAUAUAUUUUUUUAUUAAUUUUGUAAUUAACAACUACAAUUCUUUAAAUAAGAGUAAAAUUAUAAUUUGAAAUCAUUUACUCCAAAUCCAAAAUAAUGUAAAUACAUAAAUUAAAUUUUAAUUUCAAUUGCAUACUGCGGUUCCCAUGUAAGUAAACAACAUAUUCUAUCUCCCACUUCACGCUCCCAAUCUCAAAAUUCUCACUCGUCAAGCUAUAUUUUAGAUUUACGAUUAAGUGUAGAAUUAAACUAAUUUUUGAGACAAAAUAUCAUUACGUUUGACAAAAUUAAAUUAUAUUAAGUUGGAUUAUAUUUGGUGCUGACUUAUAUUUGGUACAGUAUUUGAUUAGAUUUAAAUAAAGUUCAAUAAUAUUUAAGUCAAUAUUUGAACCUAAAAGUAGCUUUAACUUAAAUACUAUUUAACUUCAUUUAAAUAUAAUCUAAUCUAAUCUAAUCUAAAAUUGCACCAAAUAUAUGGCAUCACUACAUAUAAUCUAACCUAACCUAAUCUAAUCUCAAUACCCAAUCAAAUCUAAAUCAGGAUGCCAAACGUCAUCAAAUACAAAAGUUUUGUCCUUCAGAGUAAAAUAAAAAAUAAAAGUGAAAGACCCAGCAUCUGUUGGUAUACAUACAUAUAAAUUAAUUGAAGGAGAAUAAAGCACGUUGAUUGAUGGCUUCUCGUUGGGUGGAAUGAUUGAAUCGAAAAGACAAAUGACGUUCCUUAUUCAGAAAGACAAAAGAGGGAUACUCGUAUAUCGACUCCUACUAAUACCAGCUUAGAAACACGGGUCCGCUUGUAAUACAGCGUUUGUAUCUCAUACAGCUGAAUUCAAUAUUUUAUUAAAAAAAAUGACAACCGUUAGAUAGAAGUAAAUACAUCCAAUGGUUAAUAUGUGUGAUAACUCAUUUUGGCGACCGAAUAUGGCAGUGAUUAUUUCAUCAAUUAACUUAACUAAAAAAUCACAGCCGUUGGAUUGUCUCUCUCUCCAUCAUAAUAAAAGCUUUCGCAUUCUCCCUCCUAUUGUUUUCUCCCACAUCCAGAAUUUUGGAUGAUAAGAACUUGUUAUUCAAGAGUAUUCACCACCCAUCACAGCAAAGAGCAAAGAUGUAGCCGAAGGAGUGCCGUUUAUUCAAGCUUACUCGAUCUGUCACUCUCACUUCAAUUCGUCGCUCAACUUCUCGAGGGCAUCUUCAGUUCGUCACUCACAGCUUCAAAUUUUCACUCUCGUCAAUCACCUCUCUUGCUGUACCUCUCUCUUAUGUCUCCCAACAAUUUCGGUGAGCUCUCUCUCUAAUUUAAUAUAUGAUAAAAAAUCUUAUCAUGUCAUUUAAAUAUGCUUGAAGUUUCAGUUUAGUUUAUUAUUAUUACUUGAAAUUUUGAGAUGAUUUCCAGGGAUUGAUAAUUGAAAGAUAAUUGGUAGGGCUUUUGUUUUUUUGUUUUUUUAUCUUGAGAUUAUGUUUUUCACAAAAAGGAAAAAAAAAAAAAGAGGUUGCACUAUCUAGCAUCAAGCAACUGCAAGUAAUGGGGUUUGUUUUGAUGAGCUGCGAAUUGGGGCUUCUCACUUUCUUGAAUUAUCUUCAAUAUAAGUGGAAAGGGAUUUCUUCUCUCCAAAAAAUUAUUGUAUAUUUCCUUUUAAAUUCUAGAUUGACAUGUAGCCGAUUUUUGAUGUUUGAAGGAUUUUAUUAAAGAAUGUGCUGCUGCCAGUGGCAUGAAUUAAUGUAGUCUCGCUAGUAUUCCUGAUUUGGGGUAAUGAUGUAAUUGAACGAUUAUAUUUCUAUUAUUCUUAUAUUUGAAUCCAGUGAUAUUGUGGUGGUUUUAUGAUAAUAUUCUAUCGUUUUGUGCCACAAAUCAGCCAAUGAGUUGGGUAUGUGCUGGGUAUAUGCUGUAUGGGGUUGUUGUUGAAUUUACUGGACCUUGGAUGUGAUUCUUGCCGUGUUUAUAAGAAAUAGACAAAUGUCUUUCUAUGGUAAUAGAAUUGUCUAAGUUGCAUUACGAUAAAUGUUAAGUAACUAUGCUUUGUAACCUUAAACCUUUAUUUGUAAGACUUGGUGUACUUGACUGUGAAAGAAUGUUAAAUGUUGACUUAUUUUCAUUGGUGAAGAUAAAUGAAGUUAGGAAAGGUUUGUAAUCACUAUAACCGAGACAAUUUCUUGGGUAGACUUGUAAUAAUUUUAUUCAUGGCAUGUAAUUUGUUUUUAUCAGAGGGCAUGUUUGCUUGUAGUCUCAAAUCUAGGGUAAUAUUUAAAAUAAGUUCUGCAAUAUAUGUUUUGCUAUUUUUUAUUUUUUAUUUUUAUUUUAAUUGGUUUUAGUAUUACUUGGAGGGGAAUUCUGAUCUGCUGAAGUUUAUGAAGCUGGUGCAGCAAGCAGGCCUUUAUCUUAAUCUUACAAUUGGCCCUUACGAUUGUGGUAAGUGGAAUUUUGUGUAAGUUACAACAAUAUAAUUUUUUGAAAAGAGCCGACAAGACGCUCUAUUUUCUUCUGUUUUUUUGGAAUGUUGAGCAAAACUUUUCUUUAUUCUCAGGGGCCCUGUUUUGCUGAAGUACAUUCCAGGUAUCAAUCCCUCUGAUAUACCAUCCCUUUAUUAGGUGUUUAUAAUAAUUCAUGGGUUUUGUCAUAUUGGUUUCAAUGCAUUGGUUUUGAUAUUGGUUACAGCCCAUCAGCCCCUACUCCUCUUUCCCAGCAGCCUUCAAUGCUUUUUUUUUAUAAUUUUUUUUAAGCAUUGUACUUUGAUUCACGGUGAAAUUUGUUUGUAUGAUGCUAAGUUGAGGACAUGAUAAUAGUCAUGAUUUUAUUGUAUGCAGCAAAGAUAAAUGUCCAUAAAAUUUUAUGUUGUUGAAAUAAUAAGAUUUCGCUAAUUUUGUAGUAAGAAAUGAGGGCUAUUGAUCCCUUCCGUUUAUUAUAUUCAAUUUUUUUUUCACUCUUUCAUUCAUUUAUUGUGAAGUGUGUUUAGGUAUUAGUCAUGGGCAAAGGUAAAGAUCUUUACUUUGGUAUUUUUGUCUUCUUGUGCUUCAUUGGUAUAAAUGAGGAAAAAAAGCCAAAAAUAAAAUAAAAUUAUAAUAUUUGCAUGAAUUCCAUCAUCUAUGGUAUGUUGAAUAGAUUAAAAAGCAAGGAGUACAGUGAUGGAAUAGCAGGCGGGGGAACUAUUUUUUUUUAAAAAAAUAUAAUACAUAUUGAUGGAAUAAUUAUCCUUCCCUUAAUUAUCUAAAAUUUUUCUUUUGGAAGAAUACAAAUGGACAGUCAGCAACGAAAGCGUAAACGACAACCAGGGGGCUUACAGAAAAAAAGUGCUCCUAUUCUAAGAGCAAAUGGUCAGGACGCAGUUCCAACGUCCUCAACUUAUGGAUUUGUCUCUUACUUGUAAGUAGUCAUUGUGACUUACCUAUCGACAAAUAAACACGUCGAUACCAGAUAACACUAAUUAGAUGUUAUGGUUUUGCAGCAUUGAAGAAGUUAAGCGGUUGAGAAGUGAAAAUUCAGAUUUAUCCGUUACGCUUGGGGUUAGUAUAUUCAUUAAAUGUAGCAUGUACAUCUAUUAUUUUGUGGGUUUUUUAUGUUUUAAAACAUAUGCAUUACCUUUUUUACAGUUACGAAAACAUAUUGGGAAAACCUACAAAGAACUUCCUCCCGAACAAAAGGCAAGGUACAAAAGGAGAGAUGAAAGGAUGGGUAAUUCGGGUAAUUCAAACUCACAUUCUGGUGACAAUGAAAUAGUGGAAACUAAGUGUGUACCUGAGCGGUUUUGUGCGCUGGGUAAGAGUUUAUCGGAAGAGAAGAAAAAAGCAAUAAGAGAAAUAGGAUUUGAAAGCCUGCUUGAACUCAGAUGUGGCAAGCUGAAGAGGAAGUUAUGCCAUUGGUUUGUUAAUCAGUUUAAACCUGAAAGGAAUAUAAUUGAACUUCAUGGUCAGAAAUUAGAACUUUGUCCCAAAAUGUUUUCGAAAAUCAUGGGCGUAAAAGAUGGAGGUAUGGCCAUUAAGAUUAAUGGUGCAAGUGAUCAUAUUGAUGAAGUGCGACGUAUUUUCAAACCAACAGUUAAAGGGAUUCGCAUCCGCACGCUCGAGGAACUAAUAGAGCAAUUAGAUGAAGCCAACAAGAUUUUCAAGGUUUGUGGAUAACUCAAUUACAGCGCUUGUAAUUGCUUACAAUUGAUUGUGUUUUAAAUUAUGAAUCUUUGUGCAUAACCCCCGUUUAAUCUAUAGUAUUUGUAAUUGUAGUUGUAUGAAACACUUGAACUUAUUUUUAAAAAUGUGCACACUUAAGCUAUUUAUGUAGCUUCUUAAUGCUUGCAACCGUUCACGAUGUUGAUUACAUAAAGUUUUUUGCAGGUUGCAUUUACCUUAUUUGCUAUAGCGACAUUGUUAUGUCCAAUAGGCAGUUAUAUUUCAACGUUGUUUCUUCAUCCCAUCAUGUUGUUCAUGCAGAUCUUUUAUCUCCAUAAUGUUGCAUAUGACAACAUUCAGCCCGAUAGGAAUAUACUUCCCAUCACAUUCUGGAACGAAUCAAGGAUCAAGAAGUUCAUGAAGUGGCUUAGAUCCAAAGGAGGGAUUGGAAGCGAUAAGUUAAUCUCUUCUUGUAGGGUGCUUAGUUGAAUUGAAAACAGAAUUAGUUGCAUUAUGUAGUAUAGGCAUAAAUUCAUUAUCUAUGUCAAUUCAUUCAUAGUUUGACUCCAAAUGGAGUAAUAGAUCACCAUUAAUUUUUGGUAAUCGAUUCACUUUUUUAAAUUUUCAAAUCUAUCGUCAAGCUGGUCUACCACAACAGCCAAAUGAUUUUGAUUGCGGCUACUAUGUGAUGAAGUAUAUGGAUAGUCCUUGUAUUGUUGUCCAUGACUCUUAUCAGGUUUGUACAGUUGUAUCUUAUUGGUGUAUAAUAUCUUUUCUGUAUUAGAUUAACAAAUAAGGAUUUAUAUCAGCAGGAUGAGGAUCGACUUUUUAAAAAAGGUUAUUUUUUUUUUAACUUUUUCAGCAUGACUCGGAUCACGCUUGCCUUCUUCUAGCUCUUUAUUUGGUGCAAUCUCCGCUUAAGAAGAUUAAGUGUCGACUUAUUCAAGAAGCGCGCAAGUUAUAGGUUGACUGUGCAGUCUUUUUUUUUUUUGUUUGCCGAACCAUUUUGUAGCAUUGUAGCAACGUUAGGGUAAAAGGUUGGCAAAUUUUUUGUGAUGCCACCCCAUUUGUUGGUAUUUUGUAUAGCAACUACUGUUGUUGUAGAAUCCGCGAGUUCACUAACCUAGUUAGCUGAUGGGUGGCCCUCUUAUUUUUUGGCUGAGGGUGCUUAUUUUACAAACAUGUGUGUUCCGGCAAGAUUACAAUUACUGCGCAGGCGUAUAGCAACUGUGAUGGCCCUAUUAUUUUUUGUAUAUGUGAGGGUGUUUAUUUAGUAAGAAAUUGUACAUGUAAUGGUUAAUCAAUUGAUGUGUACGCUUCUGUACAAGUUUUCUGUUUUCUUGAUUUCAGUUUUUUCUUUUUGCUUGAUUUCAGUUUUUUCUUUUUUAAGUGCAAGAUUAAAUAGUGGACAAUUUGGAAUUGUUGUUUGGCUGUUGGGAAAUGAGAAAGGACAAUGAAAAACUAAACUCGGCACCAAUUGGUUAUGUGGAAUAAAAUGAGUAUUACAGGUUUGUCCAACUAAAGGCCCCUUCGGUUUCUGAUCUUGAAAACCUUGUUCAAGAAUUUGAAAACAGGUGGGGAGAAGAAUAUGUUCUUGUUAAACAAAUAAGCCUUUGGAUAGAUAGAUUUAAAGCACAUGUCAAACAGUUUACCAUUUUUUAAAUGCUCGUUUUCUACACACCAGAGACUACAAUGUAUGUUUUUCGAAACUUAAGAAUUCUUCUCAAUUUUAAGUUAAAUUAGCAUAUUUUUUCAUAAAUAAAUAUAACUAAAAAUAUUUUUCGUUCUGUUCAUUUGACCAAAAAUGCCUCAUUUGACGCCUGGAGGGGUUGGAGACAACAGUGAAAUAGCUUAAAAUUUUUAGUUUUUUAUUGGUUUUUAUAUUAAAUAGUUUGAAUAGAAAAUAUUAUUUGACAAUUUAAGUGUUGGUUUUUUCGUUCUCUUAAAAUUGUUGGCUUAAAUGGCGAAGAAAUCAUUAAUUUUGAUGAUAACAAUUACAUGAAAAAACGAUAAUUUAGUAUAUUUAUUUAAAGGUAAACUUUCUACCCUAACUAAAAUCAAGCUCAAGGCAUAAAUGAUCAAUGAGAGCUAUAAAAAGGGUACGACGAGUUAUAAAGAGGGUACCAACUCGAAUAAUUCACUUUUUCAUACUCCUAAUGCUAAUACACUUUACUGUGUACACGACUUUGUAUCUUAAAAGCUCAAGGCUUCCUUUCAUAAUCUCUAUAACAAAUUAUCAAUUUUCAUUGUAUAAAGUUGUAUAUUUUACCAGGCAAAUUAUUUAAUCAAAAUGAGUAUUUGAAAAUUUACGGACCACAUCAACAAGAUUUCAGUUUUUUAGCUCCUUACGUGUUAUUUUUAAACGCUCAAAAAGGACCUAUACGAAAAUAAUUGAAUAUACUCGUUCAAAGUAUAAUUACAAAAAUUAGUGCUCAUGGACACAAAGUUUGCGGCUUACCUCUUCCUGUGAAGCGGCUAGCCGCAUGUACAUCACUUUUUGUAACCCAUUCCAGAAACAUAGCGGCUACCCGCCUUCAUUUCGCGGCUAGCCGCAUGUGCUACGCUUUUGAUAACUCAUUCCCAAACAUAGCGGCUACCCUCCUUCCACUGUCUUCCUCCUCAAUUUUUUAGCGGUCUCUCUCCCCACUCACUCUCGCUGAAAAUUGUGCACUUCUUACACAUUUUGUCUCCAAAUUCACUCUCCGAAACCAUUUUCCAUCCAUUUUACCUCAAUUAUCAACUCCCAAACUCUCAUUGCAUAUACACGCACGACUGCCUUAUGGGAGAAAAUGGAACGAAAGCUUCGAAUUAAUCCAACGAAGAAUUCAAAUUACUUGGAAUCUCAAUGCAAAUAUUGGUACAUGUAGGCAUUUAGUAGGAAUAUUGAAUGCAAAAUCAAUGGACCAAUAAGUUGAAACAAGCAAACCAAAAAUUGAGACAACUGAACUGAACCAAGAAAAUAUUUUAGAUAUUUAACCCACAUCAUUCAAUUUUAAUCCAAUUACUGGGAACACGGAACGCAAAACAUUUGCAACUGCAAUUGAAAAUACAUCAACCGAAAAAUGGAGAAACCACAACCGAAAAUAGUGAUCCACUUAACCAAAAAAAAAUUCUAAAAAACCUAGUAUGUAACCUUAUUAACUGGAAAUUUGACGACCGAAUAGGAAUAAUUAACGUAAAACUAGAGAAAACGUUAGUUCAAACACAUUAACCAUUAAAAAACCUGAUAUGUAACCUUAUUAACUGGUAAUUUGAAGAUGGAAUAUGAAUAAUUAACGUAAAACUAGAGAAAACGUUACUUGAAAUGCAUUAACCAUUAAUAGGGAACUUAGAACGAAAACUUGGAACAGAUCGAACGAAAAAUUCAAAUUACUUGGAAUAUGACAUUAUAUAUUGCUACUCGACGAACUUAGUAGGAAUACCGAACGCAAAAUUUUCGAAUUAAUAAGUUAAAACUAUGAACAAAAAAAUGAAACAUAUUAACCAAAAACCGAGACAAUCAAACCAAGAUAUAGGUUAAUGAUAUUUAACGCACGUAGUUGAAAUUUUACCGAAUUAACUAAAAUCAAGAACGCAAAGCCUAUGAAACUACAAUUGAAAUACAACAACCAAAAAUGGAGAAAGACCAACCAAAAUUGGUUACCAACGUAACCAAAAUAAAUUCCUACUAACCUCUAACCUGCUACUUAACCUUCAGAACUGGAAUUUAAACGUAUUAGUUGGAAUAUUUAACGUAAAACACAGGAGAAAACUUUAAUUGAAACACACUAACCAUUAAAAGAGAAAGUAGAACGUGAACUUGGAACGAUCCAACGAAAAAUUCAAAAUGACUUGGAAUAUCACAACAGAUUUUGGUACCUGACGAACUUACUACGAAUAUUAAACGCAAAAUAAUUGAACCAAUAAGUUGAAACAUGUUAACAAAAAUGUGAGAAUUAUUUACCCCAAACCGAGACAAAUCAAACCAAGAAAAAUAUUAAUGAUAUUUAACCCAUGCAAUUGAAAUUUCGGCAAAUUAACUGAAAUCCAGAACGUAAAACCUAUGAAAUUUUAAUUGAAAUAUGGCAACCACAAUUGGAGAAAGAGCAACCAAAAUUGGUGAUCCACAUAACCAAAAUAAAUUUCUAAAACCCAAACCUGGUACCAAACCUUAAUAACUGGAAUCUCAACGAGUUAAUUGGAAUAUUUAACGUAAAAUUUGAGAUAAUAUUAGUUGAAAUAUAUGAACGAUUGAGGGAGAAAGUAGAACGCAAAGUUGGAACAUAUCCAACAAAAAAUUCAAAUGACUUGGAAUCUAACAACAAAUAUUGGUACUUGAUGAAUUUACCGGAAAUAGCGAACGCAAAAUUAGUGAACCGAUAAGUUGAAACAUGUUAACCAAAAAGUGAAAAUUAUGAACCAAAACCGACACAAAUCACACCAAGAAAAUUGUUAAUGAUAUUUAACCAAAAUAUUUAUAAAUUUGCCGAAUUAACUGGAAUAAGGAACGCAAACCCUGUGAAACAAUAAUUGAAAUACAGCAACCAAAAAUGGAGAAAGACCAAUCAAAAUUGGUUACCAACGUAACCAAAAUAAAUAUCUACAAACCAAACCUGGUACUUAACCUUGGGAACUGGAAUUUAAACGAGUUAAUUGGAAUAUUUAAUGUAAAAUAGGAGAAAACGUUAGCUGAAACCCACUAACCAUUAAAAGAGAAAGUUGAACACGAACUUGGAACAAAAAAUUCAAAAUGACUUGAAAUAUCACAACAGAUGUUGGCACCUGACGAAGUUACUAGGAAUAUUAAACGUAAAAUCAGUGAAUCAAUAAGUUGAAACAUGUUAACAAAAAUGUGAGAAUUAUUUACCUCAAACCGAGACAAAUCAAACCAAGAAAAAUGUUAAUGAUAUUUAACCCAUGCAAUUGAAAUUUCAGCAAAUUAACUGAAAUCCAGAACGUAAAACCUGUGAAAUUUUAAUUGAAAUACGGCAACCACCAUUGGAGAAAGAGCAACCAAAAUUGGUGAUUUACAUAACCAAAAUAAAUUUCUAGAAACCAAACUUGGUACCAAACCUUAAUAACUGAAAUCGCAACUAUUUAAUUGGAAUAUUUAACGUAAAACUUGAGAUAAUUUAGUUGAAAUAUAUGAACCAUUAAGAGAGAAAGUAGAACGAAAACUUGGAACAUAUCCAACGAAAAAUUCAAAUGACUUGGAAUCUAACAACAAAUAUUGGUACUUGAUGAAUUUAGCGGAAAUAACGAACGCAAAAGUAAGGACCAAUAAGUUGAAAAAUAUGAAGCUAUUAAUGGAGAAGCAUUACCAAAACUUGGAACUGAUCAAACAAAAAAAUUAAUAUCGUUAUCUAACCUAUAAAAUUGGAAGCUUCACAAAUUAGUUGAAAUGUUAGACGUACAACUAGUGAAAUAAUAGUUGAAAUAUUGAAACCAAAUGUGGAGAAAUUUUUACCCAUUUUUUAAAUUAAUCUAACAAGAAAUGGUUUUAUUUCGAAUUUAACCCAAAAUAUGCGUAUUGUACGACUUUAGUGGGAAUACUCAACGUAAAACUAGUGGAUCAAAAAGUGGAGAUAAGCAAACUAAUUUGUGAGAAAGUGUAAUCAAAAUUAGGUACGUGUUAAAUUAACUUGGAAUGUCACCAAAUAUAUUGAUAUUUAACCAAAAAAAUCGAGACAUACUUAUUUUAAUUGUUUUAACUUUUAUUCAAGCAAAAUAUAAUUUUUUUCCCCUUAAAUAUUGUUUGUGUUCAAUAUUUACUAAUUUUCCUUGACUUUUUCCAUUUUAUUUUUAUUUUUUCCGCAUUAAAAAAUUUGUUUUUUAAAUUAUUAAAUGAACAACCGGUAAAAUACCGGUUGUUCAAGUUUCCUUAUUACUGUUGAGCGGCUGUAUCACAAACAGCACUGUAUUAUAGGAAGACUCUAGAAACGCAUAUGAAACGAUGUACAAUUGUAGGUGAUCAAAAAUUAAAAAGAACAAGGGAUGUAUUCGGAAUGUUGGUACGGUGAUUUUAGCAUCGCCAGAUAUAGAAAUUGGGCUAAAAAGGGGGUUCCCUUAAUCGAAUCACGUGCUUCCCACGUGCGAUCGCGUCUUCGUCUCUUCCUCACUAACCAUGAUUAUAUUCAACAAUGAUUGAAGCAUACACAUAUUAAAUGCUCCAGGAGCACCCAACAAAUUUUCCCUCUCAAGCUCGGCAUGUCCGCUAAAUCAACUAAGAUGAAAAUCACAGACACAAGGACUUAACGGAAAAGCUCACCUGAAACUCAUAAAAAGCUUUCAUUUUUUUCAUAAUUUUUUUUAAAUUAUCCAAUAAAACAAAUAUAAAUGAAGCUUAUUUUCUCACUUCUCGUUCUUUAUCUCAAUUUCUCUUCUGUUCUCACGAGAGGAGCCGAGCGUAGUUUAUUCUCCACUUCGUUUUCAGGUCGUCUUCUUCAUUUGAUCUAAUGAAUUACGCGGGAGCUAAUCACGUUUCAUAUUUUUUUUUUCACCUGUCGUUGACCUCUCUCUUUACUCUUCAUUUGACUUCCAUUUUACAACUACUGAUCUUUGAUUAAUUCUGAUUUUUCAGGUUCUACGAGACAUUUAUUUGAAGGCAAUCCCUCAGAAACUAGGUAUUAAUAAUUGUAAUAAUUAUAAUUAUCUAUUAGUUUCAGCUUGUGUAUCAAUUUUUAUUUUUAUUUUUUGUUAAUUAAGUUGUUGGUGACUCAGCUUUGAUAAGGCUAAAGGCUAUAUGACUAAUGCUGAAUUAGAGAAAGCUGUGAAGGAGUUCGGGCGAAGAUGCAGUAACAUUUCUAGGAUUUACAGGUAUUAUUUUUAAAUUUUUUUAAUGUAUUUUGGAUAUAUGUUUGUGAUUGAGUUGUUGUUAAUUUUAAUUCACGGUUGAUGUGGAGCACAAUCACUGACUCUCGAUUGUAAGUGGGUUUCGUGGUUAGUAAAUUAGCUGCCAAGUAUAAUCGUGUGUUUAUUAAACAGUAUAGCUGUUGUGCCUUCAAAGUUCAAGAGUAUGAUUGUGAGAUAAUGAAUGUUUCAUGUGAUUAUUGGUAUUAAUUUGUUCUUCAUUUCUCUCUUUGAGGGGUUUUUGGAUUGGAUGUUUAGCAUUGGAAAGAGUGUCGGUGGAUUUCCGUUGGUAAUAACAAACCCUUCUGCUGUUUAGAGUUGUAUAUUUAAUGCCAAAAAUUGCAUCUAAGUUGGUAAUUUUUUCCCUUCAUGUAUUUGCUGUAGUGGGUGAUUGAGAUUUCGGACAAACCUGGGGUGGAAGAGCCAGAACCUGCAUUCAAGGUGAAUGAAAUAUGUCAUUUACAUGAAAGGCUUGUGAUAAACUUGGUUUGGGUGGAAGAACAGUUUGGUUUUGAAUUCUCUUGGUUGUUAGUUUUAUUAUUCUUGCUGUUUUAUUUUCUGCUUGGAGUGCUAGUGAAUUCUUUCUGUUUUCUUACUUUAUCAAUGCUUUAGUUAUUCACUGUUGCUUGCCCCCCCUUUUUUUUUUUAAAGUUCUUAAAGUUAAAAUACUAUGAUGUAAAGAUGUCUUAUGAGGAAAACUACAUAAUAAGCCUCGUACAAAUUAUCCAAUGAGGAGGACAAUGUCUUUUAAUAUGUAUUUUGAGAAUACUGUUGUUUUAAGUUCUUUUUUGCGCAAUAUUAUCUACUUUGUAGCAUUCAUAAUCAUAAUUUAUUUUUUUCUGACAGCUGGUUUUGAGAAAUUCUUGUAAUCUAAUUUUUGGAUACUUGAUACUAAUAUGCUGAUAUUGCAGUUCAUUGGAAAUGUACAUGGGGAUGAACCUGUUGGUCGUGAGCUUCUGAUACUUCUCGCAAACUGGAUAUGUGAUAACCAUGUGAAGGAUUCUUUGGUGUGCCUUUAUUCUUUUUAACUUAACUUGAUUUUACUUCUUCUUUUUCUUGACUGACAUGGAAAAUUAUAAUGUGCUUUAUCCGCUGUUAUUUUGCAUGGGAUCUUAAUUAUCAUGUGCUUUAUCUGCAGCUUGGGUGCCACAUUUGACUGCUUUCUUGUUCUAAACUGUUAUUUACUUGCUAGCCACUUCUUUGUAGUUCCACAGUCACAAAUGAUUAUUUCAUAGACUCCUAGAUUUUGUGUCCAAAUGAUUAUCUUAUCCUGGAAUAUUCUUUGGUCUGUACAGGCUAGGUUGAUCGUGGAAAACAUGCACCUUCAUAUACUUCCGUCAAUGAAUCCUGAUGGGUAUGCACUCAAGAGACGUGGUAAUGCAAACAAUAUUGAUCUAAAUCGUGAUUUUCCAGACCAGGUGAUUUCUUGGAAAUUUGGUUUUCCACAGUAUUUGGACAUUUCAUAGCUAUUUUUAUUGCUAGAUUUAUUUGGUUUUCUCUUUUUUGUCUGAUAGUGAAAAGGGAUUUCUGGAUUUGUAUGGUUUACUCUUUAAAAAUUUGAAUAAUACCAUGUUACAGUUCUUUCCUAUGAAUAAUGAUGAGGAGGCAUGUCAACCUGAAACAAGAGCAAUUAUGAGUUGGGUGCGAC